UAGAACAGAGAGUGCUAGAGUUAGAGGGUUGUCAACAAAUAGAUAAAAUAGAAUUAAAAGAGUCCUAGAGUUAGAGGGUCAAGUAAAUAGAUAGAUCAAAUAGAAUUAGAACAGAGUCCUAGAGUUAGAGGGUCAAGUCAACAAAUAAAUAAAAUAGAAUUAGAACAGAGUCCUAGAGUUAGAGGGUCAAGUCAACAAAUAGAUAAAAUAGAAUUAGAAUAGAGUGCUAGAGUUAGAGGGUCAAGUCAACAAAUAGAUAAAAUAGAAUUAGAACAGAGUCCUAGAGUUAGAGGGUCAAGUCAACAAAUAGAUAAAAUAGAAUUAGAACAGAGUCCUAGAGUUAGAGGGUCAAGUCAACAAAUAGAUAAAAUAGAAUUAGAAUAGAGUGCUAGAGUUAGGUCAAGUAAACAAAUAGUUAAAAUAGAAUUAGAAUAGAGUGCUAGAGUUAGAGGGUUGUCAACAAACAGAUAAAAUAGAAUUAGAACAGAGUGCUAGAGUUAGAGGGUCAAGUCAACAAAUAGAUAAAAUAGAAUUAGAACAGAGUGCUAGAGUUAGAGGGUCAAGUCAACAAAUAGAUAAAAUAGAAUUAGAACAGAGUCCUAGAGUUAGAGGGUCAAGUCAACAAAUAAAUAAAAUAGAAUUAGAACAGAGUCCUAGAGUUAGAGGGUCAAGUCAACAAAUAGAUAAAAUAGAAUUAGAAUAGAGUGCUAGAGUUAGAGGGUUGUCAACAAACAGAUAAAAUAGAAUUAGAACAGAGUGCUAGAGUUAGAGGGUCAAGUCAACAAAUAGAUAAAAUAGAAUUAGAACAGAGUCCUAGAGUUAGAGGGUCAAGUCAACAAAUAGAUAAAAUAGAAUUAGAAUAGAGUGCUAGAGUUAGGUCAAGUAAACAAAUAGUUAAAAUAGAAUUAGAAUAGAGUGCUAGAGUUAGAGGGUUGUCAACAAACAGAUAAAAUAGAAUUAGAACAGAGUGCUAGAGUUAGAGGGUCAAGUCAACAAAUAGAUAAAAUAGAAUUAGAACAGAGUCCUAGAGUUAGAGGGUCAAGUCAACAAAUAGAUAAAAUAGAAUUAGAAUAGAGUGCUAGAGUUAGGUCAAGUAAACAAAUAGUUAAAAUAGAAUUAGAAUAGAGUGCUAGAGUUAGAGGGUUGUCAACAAACAGAUAAAAUAGAAUUAGAACAGAGUGCUAGAGUUAGAGGGUCCAGUCAACAAAUAGAUAAAAUAGAAUUAGAACAGAGAGUGCUAGAGUUAGAGGGUCAAGUCAACAAAUAGAUAAAAUAGAAUUAGAACAGAGAGUGCUAGAGUUAGAGGGUCAAGUCAACAAAUAGAUAAAAUAGAAUUAGAACAGAGUCCUAGAGUUAGAGGGUCAAGUCAACAAAUAGAUAAAAUAGAAUUAGAACAGAGUCCUAGAGUUAGAGGGUCAAGUCAACAAAUAGAUAAAAUAGAAUUAGAAUAGAGUGCUAGAGUUAGGUCAAGUAAACAAAUAGUUAAAAUAGAAUUAGAAUAGAGAGUGCUAGAGUUAGAGGGUCAAGUCAACAGAUAAAAUAGAAUUAGAACAGAGAGUGCUAGAGUUAGAAGGUUAAGUCAA